ACCUCUCCACCCUGUGGGCGCUCAGCUUUGCCUGUGCUCGCUCAAGUUGUCACAGCGUUACAAAUGUGCCACAAAACCAACCAAUCGGAGAACUCGAGAAGGUCAAUUGUGAUUGGCUGGUCGUCUCCAAUCAUAUCUUCUAUCUGAGAUGAGAGAGGGAUUUUCGGUUGCCAUCAGGCUGUUGACGUUCUUAUUACACAUCCGUCGUUGACAUUACAGGACAUGACAGACUCGAAUGAAGAGAAUAGCACACCACAGUGUCAGCUCAGCUGAUUUUGGAUUGAUGGCAAAGGGAGAGGGACUUAAGUUAGAGUGAAAAUACAAGCACAAGAACCCCAGGGGGAUUCAAUGGAGCCUGAAGACCUGCAAUGAGACCCUCACCCUGAGCCUGAGUCUCAACUCCAGAG